rnacentral:rRNA from 1 species
UUCGGAUGAUUUUCUAUUUGACUGAGCGGCGGACGGGUGAGUAACGCGUGGGUAACCUGCCUCAUACAGGGGGAUAACAGUUAGAAAUGACUGCUAAUACCGCAUAAGACCACAGCACCGCAUGGUACAGUGUGAAAAACUCCGGUGGUGUGAGAUGGACCCGCGUCUGAUUAGCUAGUUGGCAGGGCAGCGGCCUACCAAGGCGACGAUCAGUAGCCGACCUGAGAGGGUGACCGGCCACAUUGGGACUGAGACACGGCCCAAACUCC